UCCAGUUCUGGAAGCGCUAAUACAUUUGAAAAUAGCUCCAUUUAGCUUCAAAAAGGUUCCUUAUGUUCUCCUUGUUGCAUACAUUUGUGCCCCUUUCAUUUGAUGUCUUUUACAACCUCAUUUCUUGUUUGCUCUUAGCGGGUUAUUGAUAAACAUAUAAAGAAUGUGGAAAAUAUUUUAGACUGUUGCACUGAAAAUCAACACUAGAUUGUGGGAGUUCAUUCCUUAAAUAUUUCAACUUGGUUUAAUUUGUUGCAGGGAGCUAGGUCUUUUGCAAAUUUAAUGUUAAUGGCAUAGGACUACUGUCAAGUGCUUUGUUAAAGGCUUAUUUUCAGCUUUCAACUUGGGCGGUUCAUGAUGCGGGGGCUUGUCGCGUUGGACAGGAACUGGAACAAUAAAGGGGAGUGUAGUUGUUCUGGCAGAGCGCAAUGGCUAGGAGUGGCGCCAAAAGUGCCUUCUGGCUUACUAGGACGGGAUGUUGCAUUCAAAGGCCAGGAUGAGGUUGAUUGAGUGGACUGGAAUUAAGAAUUGGAUAGUCUAUUGCGACUGUAAAGCAUACAUGGUGUAAAUGAACAGAAUCUUGUUAUAUAACUGAGUAUAGGAAUUGUACAGUGGAAUCCAUUGAUAAUCUACUGAUGCACUUUUUGAGCUUUAUUAGGGCUGCAUAAAACCCACAACAUCAACAUGCAAUGGAAGCCAUACUAUAUAAUUGCGAGAGAAAACCUUUGGUGGAGUAGGGGAAGGUUUGUGAGGAAGUGGGCUGUGGUGGCUGAUAUAUGGUGAGGAAUAUAAAUGCCCCAGUAUCCAAUGAAAGAGGUUAAAUUUUAUUUUAUAUGUGAAGUAAGAUAAUUGAAGACAAUUAUGGGCUGUGGUGGCUGAUAUAUAGCAAGGAAUAUAAAUGCCCCAGGAUCUGAUGAAAGAGGUUAAAUUUAUUUUAUCUAUGAAGUAAGAAUAACCGAAGGACAAUUAUACACUUUCCCAUUUUCAAGGGCUUAUUUGAUAGUAUUAGAUACCAGAAAUGAAUUGUUAGUCAGAUUUGCAUAUCAAGUAUAUAAUAUGGAGCAUUGUUGAUACAUUUCCCUGUACAUAAAAGUAUUGCAUAUGAUGCCCUGUGGAAAGACCUUUAGAUACCAUCUUUUCACUGCAUCAAAAGUUGAUGUUUGGUUGAUUGAAAGUAGCUUGAAACUAUUCAUCAGGGUAAUAUUUUUCAUUUUGUCACUUUACUUAAUUAAAUUCUUUGGUUUUCUUUGCUUGAUAUGGAGAGAGUUAUGAGGUCUCAUAUAUAAUAAUCAUGCUAUACAUGAACAGACGUACUUUGGAAGUUUUGUAUGGAAAACUUUAUAGGUACUUGUCCCUGACUAAUAACACGUGCCUCAGUGUUCCUUGAGAAGCAGCUCAGAUUGUCAGAAGAAUGGGUUAAACAAUGACCAAGGCAGAAGCAAAGCAAAUAUUGAUGUGGCAGAGAACUCAUUAUAGCAAGACAUUCUGCAGAGAACAUACUUACUUUGAAGCAAAAGAGGAUGAUCCCAAAACUUGCCAAGUGAAUUUUACGGAUGAAGUUGGGAAUCUAAUUUUCACUCGGUCAUGAAGGACCCAUGUUGAGAUUGAAGCUCAGAAGGCACCUUCAAGAAGUGUAUUGGGCAAGGAAAACGUACUUCUGCAAAAUAUGGCUCAAAUAUUCCUUCUCACAUGGCAAGCCAGCUACGUAUCAACUCCGCCCUAAAAGUUACCAUUAGACUUGCAAGAAUGGUGGGAAUAAGUGCUAUUGGAGCGCCUAUAAAGGUCUAUCAAUCUUUGAAGGCCGAAGAUCUACCUGAUGAGUCAUAUGUCACUGAUCAAGCAAAGAAGGGUGGAAAUGCUAAUGCUAAAUAUGGAAAGUUUUUCAUCAGCGUUCCUUCAGAUCAUUUGGGACCCAUCUUAGCCGAGAAUGAUCCGGUGCUGAGUUUAGGUGUAUUGGUUAAUCAGUGCUAUGCAAAUCGGCAUAAUCCAUGCUGUGGCAACAACCUGUAUUCCAAUAAGUAGUGCUUAUUUCUGGACAACCUGUUGUUAACCUGUUGUUUGUGGAAUUCCUGGACAGGCAAAUGUGGUGCUCAAUAAGUAGUGCUUUCAGGAGGUUAUGUGGAUGAUAAGGACCACGGUGAUAGGAGAAUGGCUCUUGUACACUAGAAGAUUGGGUUUGUAUUGACUUAUAAUCCUUA